UGCAGUCAAAACACAAUAUAAAAUUAUAAAUCUUAAAACAAAAAACCCUACUAUUCUCAUCAAAAUUAUUUGACCUAAGCCUAGCACACCAGGCCCUGGAUCCAACUGCUUAUGAGCAAAACACAGCAGCAGCACGUGGGGAGUGAGCCCACAGGGGAAGAAGUGCCGUAGAGAUGGCUGUCCAGGAAUUGGGCAGAGGCUUUACCAGACAAAAGCCAACAAGGAGGUUCUGCUUGGGACUUUCAGUGAGGGGACAGCCAUCCCCGCAGCCUGUCACAGAUGGAUAUGGAAAACCUCUGCCGUAUGCUAGUAUGCUCAAGCUGCUGUGACAUCCUGACUGAUCACAUGGGCCAAGCAUCACAAUACUGAAACUAAGCAAAAUAAAUCAAGUUGUUCUCAGGUACUCAGGACACAGCUGUGCCGGCGCCUUUGGCCUUUGCACCUACAUUAUUCUCUGGUUUCCAGGCUCCGUCUCAGGAACACUUUCACUGGCUACAGUAAAGACAGUUUCUGCAGCUGUGUCAGCCGCACAGUGCUGACUGACCACUCAAGCAUGCUUGCUGUCAGUCUACUUGGGCUGUUGGGGUAGAAUACUGAACCAGGGGUUUUACAGAGAGUGCAAAUGUAUUCCUCACAGCCUGGAAGCCCAGAAGUUAAAGGUCAAGGUUUUGUACUGUGAGGGCCCUCCUGCUGAAUUUUCAUGGGGCAAGAGACCACAGUACAAAAGUUGCCUCAGCAAGGGCACUACCUUUGUAUCUAUCCUAAGCACUUAAAACUUCCUCCUGGUACUCUUACUUGGAACCUCCGGUUUUUAGAGGGGCCACACUGAACCGCAGUAAAUGUCUUGGCCUCAGAUGA